rnacentral:rRNA from 1 species
AUUGAACGCUGGCGGCAGGCUUAACACAUGCAAGUCGAACGAGUGGCGGACGGGUGCGUCAUGCUUGGGAAUCUAUCUUCUGGAGGGGGAUAACUACGGGAAACUGUCGCUACUACCGCGUCCCCUAGGAUGAGCCCAAGUGGGAUUAGGUAGUUGGUGAGGUAAAGGCUCACAAAGCCGACGAUCUCUAGCUGUUCUGAGAGGAUGACCAGCCACACGGGGACUGAGACACGGCACAGACGCCGACGUGAGGCAGCAGUGGGGAAUAGUGCGCAAUGGGGGCAACCCUGACGCAGACAUGCCGCGUGAAUGAAGAAGGCCUUCGGGUUGUAAAGGACUUUCAGCGGGGAGGCGUUACCCGCAGAAGAAGCACCGGCUAACUCCGUGCCAGCAGACGCGGUAAUUC